GACGAACGCUGGUGGUGUGCCUAAUACAUGCAAGUAGAACGCUGAAGAGAGGAGCUUGCUCUUCUUGGAUGAGUUGCGAACGGGUGAGUAACGCGUAGGUAACCUGCCUUGUAGCGGGGGAUAACUAUUGGAAACGAUAGCUAAUACCGCAUAACAAUGGAUGACACAUGUCAUCUAUUUGAAAGGGGCAAUUGCUCCACUACAAGAUGGACCUGCGUUGUAUUAGCUAGUAGGUGAGGUAACGGCUCACCUAGGCGACGAUACAUAGCCGACCUGAGAGGGUGAUCGGCCACACUGGGACUGAGACACGGCCCAGACUCCUACGGGAGGCAGCAGUAGGGAAUCUUCGGCAAUGGACGGAAGUCUGACCGAGCAACGCCGCGUGAGUGAAGAAGGUUUUCGGAUCGUAAAGCUCUGUUGUAGGAGAAGAACGAGUGUGAGAGUGAAAAGUUCACACUGUGACGGUAUCUUACCAGAAAGGGACGGCUAACUACGUGC
rnacentral:rRNA from 1 species